rnacentral:rRNA from 1 species
CCCUUAGAUGUUCUGGGCCGCACGCGCGCUACACUGAUGCAUUCAACGAGUCUAAAACCUGCUCUGAUAGGGGUGGGUAAUCUUUUGAAUGUGCAUCGUGAUUGGGAUAGAUGAUUGCAAUUUUUCAUCUUCAACGAGGAAUGCCUAGUAAACGCAAGUCAUCAGCUUGCAUUGAUUACGUCCCUGCCCUUUGUACACACCGCCCGUCGCUCCUACCGAUUGAAUGAUCCGAUGAAUAUCAUGGAUUGAGGAUUAUAGCAGGUUCGCCUGUCUUGAUCUUCGAGAAGUGAAGUAAAUCUUAUCAUUUAGAGGAAGGGGAAGCCGUAACA